GAUGAACGCUGGCGGCGUGCCUAAUACAUGCAAGUCGAGCGAACAGACGAUGCUCUUGCUCCUCUGACGUUAGCGGCGGACGUGUGAGUAACACGUGUAUAACCUACCUAUAAUACUGGUAUAACCUCGGGAAACCGGAUCUAAUACCGGAUAAUCUAUUGAACCGCAUUGUUGAAUAGUAAAUUACGGCUUUUCUGUCACUUAUAGAUGGAUCCGCGCCGCAUUGUCUAGUUGGUAAUGUAACAGCUUACCAAGGCUACGAUGCGUAGCCGACCUGAGAGGGUGAUCGGCCACACUGGAACUGAGACACGGACCAGAGUCCUGCGGGAGGCAGCAGUAGGGAAUGUUCCGCAGUGGGCGAAAGUAUGACGGAGCGACGCCGAGUGAGUGAUGAAGGUCUUCGGAUCGUAAAACUCUGUUAUUAGGGAAGAACAAAUGUGUAAGUAACUAUGCACGUAUUGACGGUAACUAAUCAGAAAGCAACGGCUAACUACGUG
rnacentral:rRNA from 1 species